GACAAUAUAAGGAGAAAUUCAUAUGGUCAGUUUUGGGUUGCUUUGUAUUCAUCAGCUGUAAAGCUGAGUGAUGAAGGAGAAAUAUUAGAAACCUUAGAAGAUUUCGAAAGGAAGACCAUGAAGAACAUUAGUGAAGUGGAAGAGAAAGAUGGAAAACUUUGGAUUGCAUCGAUAGUAACGCCUUAUAUUGGUGUUUAUAGUUUAUGAGCAUGCAGUAUAUUACGUUAGUGUGUACAUGUCCCAUACAAGGGACAAUUUUAUGUUUUUAUUAGUAUUUAUAUGUUCAUUUUAAAGUAUUGUAUGAAAUAUAUUAGUGUGUACUGAUGCAAUGCAAUAUAUUAUUGGCAAUUAUAUGAUGAAGAUUUCACUAAUUUUUUGUUUUCCAUAAGCUUAUAAUAAUGAGAGAGAAAAUUGUACAAAAGUUGUACAUAAAUGGUUAUACAAAUAUCAUUUCUCUAAGAAAAUGAAAGUGAAUAUUUUUUCCAAAACUAGAAAGGGUGUGAGUGUCUUUUAAUAAAACCUGAUGAGAGGUGAAUGCAAUUUGCUGAAAUCUAAAUCAAUAAAAAUUGAAUGUUUGAGAAUAGAAACAAACGACAGUUUUCGCUGUUGAGUACGUAUAAGUAAACAUGAGAUCAUUUAAUGCUACAAUUAUUCAGCCGAAUUGGACUUAAUCAUAGCCUUUUCGAGCGUUGUUUCUUAUGGCCAAGCAUGCCACAAUAGAAGCCUCGCGGGAUCAGCUUGGACUUAGUCAUAACCUCGUAGCUUUUAAUGUUUGAUCUGCCAUCCGUUUCUUCAUUAAUUCAGCCGAUUUGGAAUUAGUCAUAUAUGGUGGCUUUCAUGCUCAUGAGUUUUUCCUUUUUUAGCAAUGUAAAUAUGAGUUAAAUUAAUACACCAACAUGAAAUGACAUACUCUCCGAUCAUAUCUAUAAGUAAAAAAUAACUUUUUAAAAUUAUUAAAUAAUUAAUGUAUCUAACAUCUAUAUUAUAUAUAAAGAAAACUAUUCAUUUCAGCACACUUUUGGAUGGGACUUUUCUUUCCAAUAUACCCUUAAUUUUUACUUUUAAUUUUAAAUACAUAUAACAAAUAGAUAAGAAUAAAUUUAAUUUAAGAAGAAAACUUCAUACAAUUCCUUAUGAACUGUUCUUACUAUUAGCCAAUUAUAAAAUAACAUGUGGAUUACUAAUUCAUGUCACUAAUCAUCCUCGUUAACCCUUUUUACCUCCGUUAACCAUAGAUCAAGCUCACAAAAAACUAGCACAAAACAAAAACUCAUGUUACUUUUUUAUCAGCCGAUUUUGUGUUGUACAUUUGUGUUGUUCCCUUCAAUACAACCGACAAAGAUUGCCAAAUAAUUUCAUAUCCCUUCCACAAAAAACAGUAUUUCCAUAUUAUUUUAUUAAGAUAUCCUUCCUUAGUCUUUGAUCAAUUGUAACAAACAUGAGCAAAAAAUAAUCGUAAAUAUUGGACUUAUCCUCUAAAAAAAAUUAGUAAUAAAAGUGACCAAAAAAUAAUGUUAAAGAUUGGACUUUAAAUCCUCUAAAAAAUAUUAGUAACAAAAGUGAGCAAAAAAAUUCGUUAAAGAUUGAAUUUUAAAUCCUCUAAAAAAAUAUUGGUAACAAACGUGAGAAAAAAUCAUGUUAAAGAUUGGACUUUAAAUUCUCUAAAAAAAAAUUAGUAACAAACGUGAGCAAAAAAUAAUAUAAUGUUAAAGAUUGAACUUCAAAUACUCUAAAAAAAAGAUUAGUAACAAACGUGAGCAAAAAAUAAUGUUAAAUAGUUGAGUUUAAAUCUUCUGAAAAAAAGAUUACUAACAAACGUAAGCAAAAUAUAACGUUAAAGAUUGGACGUUAAAUCUUUUCAUGUUGCAACUAAUCAAAGUUGAUUAAUUUUAUGGAUUAUAUUUGACUUUGCUGGUUUAUUAGUGAUUAUGGUUCAAAUUGUUUACGAUUAAUUUUAAGGAUUAUUUGACUUUGUUGGUUUAUAAUUGCUUAUACAAACUAUGAUAGCGUGUUUUUUUUUUAAUAUAAAGAGAACCGUGGUUUUUUUAAUUAUUAUUAAAUAAAGGAAAAAUAAGCAAUAACAUCCCCUGUCGUUCUGCUUGUUUACAAUUGAUAAACUGCUCCCACGGCCUCCAUCCAAUAUCCAACAAAAUACAGUGAAAUCAAAGUGUUAAAACCAUUUAAACAAUUCAAAAUGGUUAAACCUUAAUCACACUCAUGUUACCAACAACUAAAAACAGAAACACUAGAAAGUUUCAAACCACCAUCUCUUUUUUUUUUUGUUACAUUCAAAUCACCAUCUGAGAGGCCAUUAAAAGAGAGGACCGCUAAUUAAGAAGUAUGGAUAUGAACACCUACACCAGAUACAACACGAAUACUGACACGCCAAUAACGUUAUAAUUUGAGAAAAUCACAUAAUUUAGGGUAAUUAUAUUUGUGGAUGCGGAUGCCACACGUGUUCAGACACAUCUAAUAUGAGGAGUGUAUGUGAUUCAUAGGAGAGGAGUAAUAUCAUAAUUUGUAAUCACAAUAUAAAAGAAAAAAAUCAAAUAGAAGUGGAAAUAGAAUCAGUGGAUUAAAGAUAGAUAAACAGGGUAGAAAGAAACAAAUGGCUACACUACCAUAUCAACAUGAAUUCUUAAACUCAAUUGCUCAAGGAAGUAUCCCACCAUAUAUUUUAAAGGUAAAAAAAGGUGCACCUUUGAUGUUGUUGCGAAACAUAGACCCUAUAUAUGGCCUGUGUAAUGGGACACAAUUGUUAUGUCGUGGUUUAUUUAAGAAUAUGUUGGAUGUGAACAUCCUAAUAGGAAGCAAUACUGGAAAAAGAGCAUUCUUGCCCAUAAUUAAAUUAAAAACAAAUGCGAGUUCAGGACUUCCCUUUGUGCUUAGUAGAAAACAGUUUCCCGUUACACUAAGAUUUGCUAUUACCAUAAAUAAGUCACAAGAGCAGACCAUUCCCAACGUCGAAAUCUAUCUUCCACGAAUGGUCAAUUAUAUGUAGCUUUAUCAAGAGAAGUUUCUCAAAAUUCAACAAAGGUUCUCAUAAAGAAGGGAAAAUAGGAGAAGAUGGAGACUUUACGAAAAAUGUAGUUUUUAAAGAUAUUCUUUUAUCGCAAUCAUAUCAAUGUUUCUUUUACAUAACAUGUCAUUUAUACAUUUAUUUAUGAUGUUACUAAUUACUAUUAGAAAAAACAAUAAAUUGUCAUUAUUUUGAUCUUCAAAAAAAAAAUGAUCAUUAUUUUAUCUUAAUUUUAUAUGGAGGCAAACUAAAAUAUGUUGAGUUCAAAAAUAAUUUUGUUAUAAGCCUUGACAAUAUUUUGUUUAUAAAUCAAUAUAUCAAUAAUUUUUAUUAAUAUUUUGAAAUUUAAAAAUUUCAAUCAAAAUUAUACAAACAAACAUAAUAAAAUAUUCACAUGCGUUAGCGUAGUAGAAAGAGCGGAUAGACAGGAACGAUCGCGCCCGUCUUUCCACUAGUAUAUAUAAAUUGAAUAUUUAAUGAACCUAAAUUUUUUGUUUAUAAAUAUGACUGGAGGGAGUAUAUUAUGAAUUUAUGAUGCAUUUACGUUAACAAAGAGUUGUUCCAUGCAAUGAGAGUAUAGUAAAUAAAUGGGUUUUGCUAACGGUUGUCUUGAGGGCGUUUGUUAAGGAUUCAAUAGAAGAAAUAAUUCAUAAAUUUUAUAUAAAAAAAGUUUCUUUUUGAAAUUUCAAUGUUUUGAAUGCAUAAUUAAAAAAAGAUUUUUAUCUUUGAAUAUAUUAGGGCUCUUUUUAACUUUUUCUUUUCUCUUCUCUUCUUCUCGAGCGACCCCUCCCUAUUAUCUCAUUCAUGUGCAUCUCCUCCCUCACCUUCAUCUUCUUCCCAUCAAACCCAAUCUCCAAUUUCAUCCAUAUCUUCUUCUUCUCCAUCUUAAUUUACUCUCGGUUUCAUCAUCAAACCAAUCUCAACACAUCUCCCCAAUUUAUUCCAUCAUUUAAUUCUUCACCCCCUUCAAGGCUUCGAAUUUGAAAAUGAAGCAACAGACAAAACCUUCGAUCCUUCGUCAUUAGUUGAUUUCAUAUUGCAAUUUUCAGUUUUGCAAACCUACUAUCCAUAAGUUUUCGAUCCAGUUUUGCUAAUUGGAUUUUGGUUGUUCUUUCCUUGUUACGAUAAAAAAAAAAAAAAACCCAAAUCUGAGUAUGGUUUUCUUUUUUAUAAUUUAACCACUAAAAAAAUUAGUAUGGUCCCUCUGUUAACUUUUGUUAAAAUAAAUAAAUAAAACUAAUAGAGUGUCACGUGGUCCAAUCAUUUCACGCCACGUGGCUCACUAAAUGACAAAAUUUUAGAAUUAAAAUAAAUCAAAUAAAAUAAUUGUUUUUUAAUUAAUUCUAAAUAAUAAUAAUUAAAUUUUUUAUUUAUUUAUUUUAACUCUGAAUAAUAAUAAUAAUAAUUAAAAAAUAUUUUUUAUUUGAUUUUUUUUAAUUUUUUAAUUUUGUCUUUUAGUGUGCCAUAUGGCGUGAAAUGAUUGGGUCACGUGGCACUCCAUUAGUUUUAUUUAUUUAUUUUGACAGAAAAGUUAACAGAGGGACCAAUACCAAAUUCAUUUUCAUUCAACUGUACAAUUUCAUUUUCACCAAACAACAUAGAUCAAAUAAAAAACGUGAACAAAAAGUUAUUCUAUUCUAGAAGAAAUGUAAAAGAUUGAGAUUUUAUCAUUCUGUAAAAGUUCAAGUAGCACAUAAAUAAAUAUUGGAAUGAAAAGCAAAGAAGAAACUUAACAAGAGAAAAAAAUAUGUUGUUUUAUAAAAGUUUCCAUUGAGAUUCUAAAAGUAUUGAUCUAGGUGACAUAUGUUUAAUUAGUGUUUUUCUUAUAUUGCGGUUUGGUUUGGUUUGAUUCGGUUUGGGAUUUUUCUAUUCGAUUGAUUUGAUUUAGAACACCUUUUUUUUUUACAAAAACAAAAUGAUAUUCAAUCAUUCAAAUCGAGAGAUUACAUCAUUCAACACCGCUAAAAACGUAAGGGAUGAAUCUACGAACAAACUCACAUCAUCCAAGUUAAUAGCAUAUAACGGCAUAAUGCCUACAAAAAUAUAUGAUGAAAUUAAAGUGACCGAAAUAUCCAUGGCCUCCGGAUCUGCAACGUUGACGCCCAAAUCUUCGAUUGAAUAAUCGAUCUUUCAAUAUAAAUCAAAUGAACACCGCACGAGGACGGGAAAUGAAACAACGCCGCACAAGACGAUGAACAACAAACCACCACACUUAGAUGAUGAAAUCACAAAGAAAAAAACCUAGAUCUAUGUGAAAAUCACUUAAUUAGAUUGAAAUAGAGAGAAAAAGAUGAAGAUUGGUGAUUUUAGGUCAAGAAUUGACCCAAAACCACCCCUCAAUGAAGAAACAGUAAGAGAAAACCUAAAGAGAGAAAAUUAGGAUUGACUUGAUUUAGAACACCCCUAUUUAUAACAUUAUAUACUAGAUUUAAAGAAUUUAUUUAAGUCAUUGAAAACCAUCCAAAAUUCUCCUCCAAUACAAUUUUUUAAUGGGAAAUGUUAACGAGUGCCCCCGGGGCACUCUUUAAACACUUUAAAUGGUAAGUUUUUAAUGAAAAAUUGUGUAAUGAAUGCAUUGAAAAUUGUAAUAGUUGACUUUUUAAAAAUAUAGUUACUAAAUUUUGGAUGCUUAAAGAGUGCUCCGGGGACAUUCGUAAACAAGACCCUUUUUUAAUUCCCAAUUUUUUUUUAUAUCAUAUAUUAAGAAAAAUAUACCCUUCAAAGUCUUCCCUUUCAAAAUCAUUUCAUUUACUUAUUCCUUUUUUUCUAAAAUACACGUACCCUUCUAAACUCCCAACCAUACUCUUAAUAUAGUCAUUAUAAUUUUAAACUGUCACUUUAGAGUAUGAAAUAAAUUUUAAAAUUUCUUCUUGCAUGUUAGUUCACUGAAUUAAAUUUCCUUGUUAAGAUCAGAUCAAAUAUUCAACCAUGUGUUUAGUUGACAUCAGACAUACAUUAAAGUUGCGUAUCAACAAUUAAGUAUCUCUUUUAUAAAGCUAAGAUUUUUUUAGAGUACACAUCAAUAAUAUUUGACAAAACGAUGUAAAUACAUGUCAUGUAGAAAAAUAACAAUGGAACAUUCUUGAGUUGGUAUGGUGGUGUUGGCUUCAGACAUUAGAAUGUCUCACGGUCUCAAAUUCGAUUCAUUUAGCGGUGCCAAUUUCGGUUCGUUGGUUUUAGUUUCUUCAACAAAAAAAAAAAUAGUAAUGGAAUGAUCUAUAUGUUGGUCACUUUUAUUUGCAGGCAAUAUACGCUUUUAUUUGUUAGUGGAGACAAGACUGGAAGGUUAAUGAAAUAUGAUUUCGAAAGGAAGACCAUGAAGAACAUUAGUGAAGUGGAAGAGAAAGAUGGAAAACUUUGGAUUGCAUCGAUAGUAACGCCUUAUAUUGGUGUUUAUAGUUUAUGAGCAUGC
rnacentral:lncRNA from 1 species